rnacentral:lncRNA from 1 species
AUAUUCCAAGAUGCUGAUUACUUUACAGCUAUGCCAGCCUGUCUUCUCCGCGUCUCCUUUCUUCCCUUCAACGGUCAUAAGCCUCCUUAACACUCAAGGUAACUCUCCAAAGUAACUUGGGUAAGGAUGGUAAGUUUGGUUGAUGAUGGGUCGACCCGAGAAUGUACGGCCUGUACGGCCAGUACGGUCAGUACGGAUUGUACGGACUGGUCGACCUCAUACCUCAUCCUUUCCUUAACACAUCCUUCUCAUAAUGCUUCCUUAUACCCCAUCACUUCCCUUGCUUAUACUCAACUCAUUUCAACACUCCCCCUCAAGCUUGAAUUCUAGAAUCCAUUCAAGCUUGGAACAGCCAUGAGAUCUUCCUCAUUAAAAACCUCACCAAGGAAAACCCAUUGGGACAAAACCUUGAUGAGGGAAAAAGAGUAAAGACCUCAUGGCAAAGGGGAUCAGCUCCUUGAGGAAAGAUCUAUGAGUCCCAAUCUGGUAUGAAUGGACUCCAUAGUCUUUUGUCUUGCAGCCUUGGUGAACACAUCCGCAAGUUGAUCCUCACUCCUUGUGUAGCAUGGCAAGAUUACUCCCAAGACAAUCAUCUGCCUCACCUUGUGACAAUCAACUUCAAUGUGCUUGGUUCUCUCAUGGAAGACUGAGUUGGUUGCAAUGUGUAUAGCCGCUUGAUUGUCACAAUGCAUAGUCAUUGGAGUUGCUUGCUCUAUCUCCAAAUGCUUCAAGAUCCCUUUGAUCCAUACCAACUCAUUGGUAAGCUUCAGCAUUGCUCUAUACUCAGCUUCAGCACUUGAACAAGACACCACCUUCUGCUUCUUGCUCUUCCAAGUCACCAAGUUGCCUCCAAUGAAUGUACAGUAGCCAGUGGUUGAUCUUCUGUCUGCUCUAUCUCCAGCCCAAUCCGCAUCACAAUAUCCCACUACUUCAGUACUCUUGUUGCAUCCCAUCCAAACUCCAAGGCUUGAUGUCCCGUUCAGAUACAAGAGCAGUCUCUCCACCAUGCGCCAGUGAUGAUCCUUUGGAACUUGCAUAUGCUGGCUCACUUGGUUCACAGCAAAGCAAAUGUCUGGUCGUGUGAUGGUGAGGUAGAUGAGCUUCCCUACUAGCUUCCUGUAUAGCUUUGGAUCAUGAAAGGCCUUGCUAUCUUCAAUCUCCCCCUCACGUGGAAUCUUGUAUCCAUCUUCAAGAGGCAUCUUUGCUGUCUUAUCUCCUUGUAUACCUGCAUCUUUCAAAAGAUCAAGUGUGUACUUCCUUUGGGAAACGAACAAUCCUUCCUUAGAUCUACACAACUCAAUUCCAAGGAAGUAUUUCAUUUCUCCUAAGUCUUUGAUUUCAAAACACAGAUUUCAAAACUCCUUUGUGGCUUUUAUACCAGCCUUAUCACUACCUGUUAUGAUAAUGUCAUCAACAUAUACAAGUAGACAGAUGAUACCUGAGGGUGUAGUGAGAGUGAAGAGAGUGUGAUCCAAUUCAGACUUCUUGACCCACGCCCAUUUAAGGUAGUGCUCAGCUUGUUAUAUACCAUGCUCUAGGAGAUUGCUUCAACCCAUAGAUAGCCUUCUUGAGUCUCAAUACAUUUCCAGGUUUCACAAGGUGCUCUAGACCCGGUGGGGGAUACAUAUACACUUCAUCCUCUAGCUCUCCUUGAAGAAAGGCAUUCUUCACAUCCAUCUGCCAAAGCUCCCACUCAAGAUUCACAGCAAGAGAUAGUACAAUUCUUAUGGUAUGGAGUUUGGCAACAGGGGCAAAGGUAUCAAUGUAGUCUUCCCCAUAUGUUUGAGUGUAUCCUCUAGCCACCAGUCUUGUCUUCUUCCUCUCAAUAGUUCCAUCAGGUAGAUACUUGAUAGUGAAUAUCCACUUGCUUGUUACUGCCUUCUUCCCUCUUGGUAACUCACUUUCAAACCAAGUGUCAUUCUUUAUCAUAGCAUUUGCUUCAUCACCCACUGAUUCUUUCCAAUCUUCAUGUAACAUUGCUUCUUCAUAUGAUCUGGUACACUGCUCUCAUCUAAGCUUGUAAUGAAUGCACAAUGUUCCUUUGGGUAGCUCGCAAAUGAGCACACAGCCUGAGAGGGAUGCUUCACAGCUUGAGCAUUGUAGUACACUCUCGUGUUUACCCAGUUGGAAGCAUCUCUCUUCAGUCGUGUGCUUCUCCUUAAUGGGGCUUGUUCCACCUCCACCACCGUAGGCUGCACCACCGUAGGCUGAACUGCUUCUCUUUCUACUUCAUUUGGUUCAAUUGGUUCCACAUAAUCUUCUUGUAUGGAUUCUUCCUCUCUUUGUAUCACACCUUGACCAUGACUAUCUGAGUCUUUAUCCUCAUGAUCUUCAGGCUCAGCCUCAUUUCCCCCCUCAUGAUCAUGGUGUGAUGGUUCUUCAGCUUCAUUCUCCUUUGAUGGUUGCUGAUCCUGGGACAUGUUGAUUCCAAGUCCUUCCAGUACACGCCUAAGACUUGUAGCUCGAUCAGAUGGUUGAGACAAAUCUUCAAGAUCUUCCCACUUUCUAUCUCCAUAAAAGCUCUUAUCCUCCAAGAACUUCACAUCUCUAGACACAAGAACUCUCCUGGCUUCUGAAAUUAGCAUUUGUAUCCCUUUUGUGACGUUGAGUAGCCAAUGAACAUGGCUCUUGUGCUCUUUGCUUCUAGCUUAUUCCUUAGCUCCCCGGGUACAAGUACAAAGCACACGCAUCCAAAGACUCUUAAGUGAUCCAGUACAGGUUUGCUUCUGUUUAAAACUUCAUAAGGAGCUUGAUCUUCCAGGAUCUUGGUUGGUAUCCUAUUGAUUAGAUAACAAGCCGAGAUCACAGCAUCACUCUCCAGAAUCUCUUAGGCACACUUGUAUGAAACAUCAUAGACCUUGCCACCUCCAUUAGGUGUCUAUUCUUUCUCUCAGCUACACCGUUCUGUUGAGGAGUGUAUGGACAACUUGUCUGAUGUAGAAUCCCAUGUUGAGCUAGGUGACUCUUGAAUGCAUUGCCAGUAUAUUCUCCACCAUUAUCAGACCUGAAAAUCUUAAUCUUGGCAUUAUACUGGUUAGAUACAUAAGAUUGGAAGUUUUUAAAUGCAUCAAGAACCCUAUCCUUUGUUUUAAUGAGUGUUAUCCAGGUGUAUUUAGAUUUCUCAUCUAUAAAUGUGACAAAGUACUUGUAAUUAUCUCUAGAUAAGCAGGGAGCAGUCCAUACAUCAGAGUGAACAAGAUCAAAACACUUAUCAUAGAUAGUAGUAGAUCUUUUAAAGACAGUCUUACAAUGUUUUCCCAAAAUACAAGCCUCACAAUCAUUAUUUUUAAACAUGACACCUGGAAACAUUAAGCUUAAGGCUCUAACAUGUGGAUGUCCUAGCCUAGAAUGCCAUAAUGCACCUUUACUAAAACAGAACUCAGCAAACAACUAGAAAUGGGGUUAAUGUCUUCAAGUACAUAAAGAUCCCCCUUGGUUACUACCUUGUCCGAUCAACUUAUUGCUCUCAAUAUCCUGAAAUGUCACAUUGUUAGGACUAAAGAUAACAUUGCAUUGUAGAUCAUUGGUACAUCUUUUAACAGAUAAGAGAUUAGAAGUAAAAUCAGGCAUGUAAAAAGCUUUAGAGUUCUUAUCAAAAUAGCUUUAAGUCUCCUACACCUUUAAUGGGAAUUCUAUCUCCAUUUGCAAUCAUUACAUGACCAUGAGCAGGUUCUAUGUUUUUGAUCAAGCUAUCAUCACUAAUCAUGUGAUGAGAUGCACCAGAGUCAACAAUCAAUGGUUUUAUGCCUCUAGCAAGAUGAGUUCUAGGUGAUUCAUUUCUCAGUUUUAAUUUCUCAAUGAUAUCUAUCAACCUAUUCUCAUUCCUAGGCAUCAUAUGAGGCAGUAUAAGAGUAACCAAGAGUGUUUCCGAAUGUACCAGACUCCUUAAGAGCUUUGAUGAGGGCAUCAAUGUCAGAUUUGCGGAUCACUUCAUGCUCCAAACUCUUUGCGGCCGUGGUAGUGAGUUGCCAUUGCCUUGCCUGCGCUUUCACCCACUUGUGCACUUGAGCCUGCUCCUGAUGGACCGGCUUCACUUGCUUCAGUAGACAGGUUAGCUCUGGCUUCUCGAUCCUUGUUGAAACUUGGCCGGCUUGAGAUGGGGAUGAAGGAUCCAGCACUGGCUCCUCUUGUGUCCCGGCUUCUUGCAGUGAUCACAGUUGCCUCCAAACCUCCUCUCAUCACCAUACUUCCUCUCAUCAGUCUUGUAUGCUGCACGGUUAGCUUGCGCUCCUUCCUCAGCCUUGUUGGCUAGAGCUAAGUCUCCCUUGCUUCCGAAGAGACCAAGAGACCCUUCCUCCUUCUGGAGCUGCGCACAUACUUCCUCCAUGGAUGGAAGACUUGGCAUCCUCAACAUGUGUUUGAUCACAUCAUUGAACGGAGGGUCCAAAGUCAACAGCAAUCCAAACACCUGAUCCUGCUCCCUCCUCUCCAUGAGUAGCUCUUGAUCAGCCGUGCUUGGCCUCAACGAUUCAAGCUCAGACCACAAGGAUCUAUACUUGCCCAAAUGCUUGGUGAACUCCUCUCCAUCUUGUACCAGUGUGUUGAUAGCUUUCUUGAUCUCAUACACACGGUUCAGAUUGGUAACGUUCCCAAAAGUCUUUUGGAGUACCUCCCACAGGUGUUUUGGAGUCUCACAGUAGCUGUAGGCUUCCAAGAGAUGUUCUUCAAGAGAUCCUUGCAGCACAGAUAGCACCAUCAAGUCAUCUUGAAUCCACUUCUUUCCAUCAGCAACCGCGAGCUCUCUUCCACCUUCUUCUUCACUGGCCACUGGUGCUGGAGCUUCAUCUGUGAUGUGACCCAUAACCCUAGCCUCCCAAUGGCUGUCUUCACAAGCCUAGACCACAACAGGUAGUUUCCCCCACCCUUGAGUGAAAUCGGAACCGUAAUCACCUUGUUUCCUCCCAUCUUGAUUUGCUUGGACUUGGUUUAGAAUCUCACAAGAAAGAACUUUUUUAUCUGAAGCUGAAGAACACAACGAUCUCAAUACCACAGCCAACCUGGCCUCUGAUACCAUAUGACUUUAGAGAAUAUGAAAGGUAUUGAGAAGUCUAAGAGAGAUUCAAGAGAGAUUAGAGUGUUUAAGAGAAAGUGUAAUGAGAUUAUCAUGAUGAACUAGAGAGAGAGAGACUCAUAAACUCGUGUGUUAAUAUUAAUCAAGGCAGAGUUUACAAUAUAUAGCAAAGGAAAGACUAGGUUUCAGCAUAAGAGAUAAGGCAAAGCAUGUGUAGUCAAAGCUAAAGGGAGCGGAUGGUUUGAACUAGCCAAUGGAGUGCUUCACACACUUUCAGCAUAUUCCAAGAUGCUGAUUACUUUACAGCUAUGCCAGCCUGUCUUCUCCGCGUCUCCUUUCUUCCUUCAACGGUCAUAAGCCUCCUUAACACUCAAGGUAACUCUCCAAAGUAACUUGGGUAAGGAUGGUAAGUUUUGGUUGAUGAUGGGUCGACCCGAGAAUGUACGGCCUGUACGGCCAGUACGGUCAGUACGGAUUGUACGGACUGGUCGACCUCAUACCUCAUCCUUUCCUUAACACAUCCUUCUCAUAAUGCUUCCUUAUACCCCAUCACUUCCCUUGCUUAUACUCAACUCAUUUCAACAGACAGCCUGUCAUUGACCACGCCCUAGCUGUCCAUUAUCCACAAAUAGUCACAAGAUAACUCAGGUUUGUCUUCUCUUGCGCCCUAAGUUUGCACAGCUUCAUUUCAGCUUGAUCCGGAACAAGUACGGACGAAGGUACGGACCGCCUGUCCGUACCUCGCCCUAAGUUUGCACAUCUCACCAAAACAUCUCCAAUGGUUGAGUGUGAUCAGGUUCUGGGUCGCCCUAAGUUUGCACGGUUCAUCCGUACCGUCUGAACCUCGGGACGCCCUAUCUUUGCACCAUCACCAACUAUCUCCAAAUGGUGUCUAAGUCCCUCCUGGACUUAAACCCUAUCUUUGCACAGCCUUCAUGAUACUUCUAGACUUCUCUAAACUCUCAUGAAGCCUUGGAUAGACAAUCUCUUAAGAUCUUGUCCCUAUCUUUGCACCAGACCCAAACUCCUCCAUACUUCUCCUAUGGCUCCAUUUCUUUCUUCAAGUCAACACUCCCCCUCAAGCUUGACUCUAGGUGAUCCUAAGUCAAGCUUGGAACCUUGAAGAACUCCCUCAUUAAAACCUCACCAAGGAAAACCCUUUGGGACAAAACCUUGAUGAGGGAAAAAGAGUAGAGCCUCCAAGGCCUAGGGAUGGCCAGUGAGCCUAUGUGCCUUAGUAUCACUGAGGUUUAGGCACAUAGGCCUCUGGAUCACGGCCUCUUCACUCCACCACUCUUCUUGGACUUCUUCUUAAACUCCGUUGUGUCUUCCCUUCUCUCAUGGCUUCUCGGCCAUCUCCAUCAGGUAAGAUCACGCCCUCUUCAUUGAGAAUCCAAGUAAGGUACCUGAUACAUCAUUCAACAAGUGUAUCAGUUCUCAAGAGAUAAGCCUAUCAUGAAUGUAUAUAAAGAGAUAGAGAUCAGGUUUACUCCCUUGUAUAAAUGGUGAGGACUGGCUGCUCUUCACAUGCCACUUGAGUCCCUCACUUGCUGAGCUUAACAGCUCCUUCUCUGAUCAUGCAAGCUCAUCCACACUCCCCCUCAAGCUUGAGACCAAGUAUAGGAAAGGUCAAAGCUUGAUGGUGAGCGCAUGAUAGCUCCAUGAUAUGCCUUGUGGAAAGCACCUCCAUCUCCUUCGGACUUGAUGCUUGAACCUCCACUACAUCAUCAUUGCACUGAGGAGAUACAUCAGCCCACUCUCCAAGCACCUCACACGCCUUGUUGAGUGACCUUCUUCUUCCCUCUACUUCGGCUGAAUCACUCCAUGAUCAGCUUGCAAUGACCUUGAGUAACACAGGUCAUUGAGCAACAGGAUCAUCAGGUGGCUCACUUUGCUCCCCUCCUCAAGCUUGGAUUGAGUAUGGGUCCAAGCUUGAAGUGAGCCUCAAUGAGCCUUAAGAUCAGGAGCGCAACAUCUCAUAGAGUGCGCUUCAACCACUGAUCAACCCUUCCCUUUAUCUCCAAUGCCUUCUGGUCACCGGUCUCCUCCAGACUUAGGUGAUGACCACUCGCCUUGUGUAUCCACACAUACACCACAGCGACCAUUCCCAAUGGGUAAAGUCUUCUUCCUCUUCUGCUCGGAUUGGUGAUGGACAGAGAGCACAUCUUGUGAACCUGAAACACCACUCAAACUCCAGCAAAGAUAAGACACAAGCAUUGGGAUCAAUCCUUGACUAAUCAUCAAGUUUGAUCUCCAAUGUCACAAGCUAUGCAACAGAUUGAAACAAGAAUUAUCAAGUUCACAUCUUUGCAAGCAAUCUCUCUAGGUACAAGCAAGAUCAAAUCAGAUUCAAGACAAGCUACUUAGGCAAUCAACCCUGCCUUAAUCCGCAAUCAUAGACAUCCAUCUAUGUGCUCAAUGUUAAGGCAGCAACAAGAUGACAAUAUGCUGUGACCUUAAUCAGUUUCUAGCUCAUGUAUGCAGCAGGAUCAGCCAAUGCUUUCUAUUAUCCUAACACACUUCACUUAUAACUGAGGCAAAGCAAUAUUAAUCAUCAAUCAACAUCAGACAAUGCAAAACCUUAAGUGAUUUCAGUUUAAUGAAAGCUAAUAGGAUUUAGACAGUUUCUAACAUCCUAGCACAAUCAUAACCAAAUCAGGCUAAGCAUUUCAUUUCUCAACAUCAAACAACACUCAAUAGCAUCCUGGGACAGAUUCUAAAUCAUUUCAUUUCAUUUAGCAAUCUUAAACAUAUCCUCAGGUUCAUUUAAUCACAUCACAACACAACAACCUGUUUCAAUCACAAGCUCAUAUCAAGAAGGUUUAGGAUUAGCUUACAACCAAGGAACCUGAGCUGGUUCCUUGAGCCACCUUGGUAAUAGGCCACGAAUCUGGUGGAUAAGAGAGCUGGAUCGUCACCCAACACCUUCUCUUUGUGUUCAUAACCUCCUUCUUGAAACCACAACACAAAAGGUUCCACCUUUCUUCACAGCUCCAAGUCUCCAACUUCAGGAACAAGAUGAGAGCUUUCUUCUUGAAGGGUUUCAGCUUGGGACAGAGUUGAGACACGCCUUUAAUGGACUGGAGAGAGGAGGAACGACCAGGAGACACCACCAUAGCUUCAAACACCUUCUUCUUGAAGAGAGAGAACAGGCUGGACAUCUUCAAUGGUUUGGAUCUGUGAUGAGGCUAGACUUGUGAUGUAUAUGCGGAAGCUGGAACCAAGUUCUGAUGAACCUGGCUCUGAUACCAUGUUAGGUUUUCAGAGCUCAGGCUGUGUGUGUGAGAACAAGCCACUAAGGGCGAAAUGAGAGCUUGAACUGAAGAGAGAAAGGUCUGAUGAAGAACAGUAUGAACUUGGACAGAAACAAGAGAUUUAGAGAGAUUAAGAGAUUUAAGUAUAAGAAAGGGGUAGUUUGAGGGAUUCUUAUCCAAGAACACACUUUGUAUUAUGAAGGAGGAGGGGAAAUCCCCCUCUCUCUCUCUUAAGAGAGUUACAAAACGUCCAUGAUAGCCUUUAUAUAGGCUUUACACUUUGUAAAAUCAUAAACCCUUAAUCUAAUGGAUAGAAAUGACUUGAGAUGAAUGGAUGGCUAGGAUGGAGUUUUCUUGUUUGCAAUCUGAGUGAAUUGAUCUGAUUGGAGUAGAGAAUGCUGGCUGGUGAUUGGUUGAUUCAAACUGGUCAAGGCAAGGGCUGGCUCCUGAUUGGUUCCCUUAAAGCUCCCAUGAACCUUUUUCACAAAGAUGGCUAGAUACAUGGUCAAGGCUGCUUUUCCUUUACAGCUCAAAGACAGCCUGUCAUUGACCACGCCCUAGCUGUCCCUUAUCCACAAAUAGUCACAAGAUAACUCAGGUUUGUCUUCUCUUGCGCCCUAAGUUUGCACAGCUUCAUUUCAGCUUGAUCCGGAACAAGUACGGACGAAGGUACGGACCGCCUGUCCGUACCUCGCCCUAAGUUUGCACAUCUCACCAAAACAUCUCCAAUGGUUGAGUGUGAUCAGGUUCUGGGUCGCCCUAAGUUUGCACGGUUCAUCCGUACCGUCUGAACCUCGGGACGCCCUAUCUUUGCACCAUCACCCAACUAUCUCCAAAUGGUGUCUAAGUCCCUCCUGGACUUAAACCCUAUCUUUGCACAGCCUUCAUGAUACUUCUAGACUUCUCUAAACUCUCAUGAAGCCUUGAUAGACAAUCUCUUAAGAUCUUGUCCCUAUCUUUGCACCAGACCCAAACUCCUCCAUACUUCUCCUAUGGCUCCAUUUCUUUCUUCAAGUCAACAC